rnacentral:rRNA from 1 species
AUUGAACGCUGGCGGCAGGCUUAACACAUGCAAGUCGAGCGGGGGAAGGUAGCUUGCUACCGGACCUAGCGGCGGACGGGUGAGUAAUGCUUAGGAAUCUGCCUAUUAGUGGGGGACAACAUCUCGAAAGGGAUGCUAAUACCGCAUACGUCCUACGGGAGAGAGCAGGGGAUCUUCGGACCUUGCGCUAAUAGAUGAGCCUAAGUCGGAUUAGCUAGUUGGUGGGGUAAAGGCCUACCAAGGCGACGAUCUGUAGCGGGUCUGAGAGGAUGAUCAGCCACACUGGGACUGAGACACGGCCCAGACUCCUACGGGAGGCAGCAGUGGGGAAUAUUGGACAAUGGGGGGAACCCUGAUCCAGCCAUGCCGCGUGUGUGAAGAAGGCCUUAUGGUUGUAAAGCACUUUAAGCGAGGAGGAGGCUUCUCUAGUUAAUACCUAGGGAUAGUGGACGUUACUCGCAGAAUAAGCACCGACUAACUCUGUGCCAGCCGCCGCAGUAA